AUGUAUUGGUCAUCUGUCGAGGUGUAUCGACGUAUAAUCCACGGCAGAAGAAGGCGACGUGUUGAAUAUUUAUAUAUAAAUCUUCUUUCCCUGGCCGGUACGUGACAUGAACAUGUUCCCCCCCAUUAAAGAAGAGCGGUCAAUAAUCAACAAGACACUUUUCGGUCAAACGCACGAAGGACCGCUACCAAAAAGUGGAGACGCCCCCAAUCAUUUCUGGCAAGUGCGCGUUACGUUCCAUGAUCAAAUUUCCUUCGCACCCUUUCGACCAUCCUCAAUUUGCUGAGUUCUCUUUUUUCACAAUCCGAAAGGGAAAGGGCGACUUUUUUUUUAGCUUUCCAACGAAUGCUGUUGCCAGAUUUUAUGUCAAAUCAAAACGUUUAUUUCAUAAAAAAAGAGCCCAAACCAUCAAGAACAUCGCCUCCCCCCCAUGACAGAACAUAGACCAAACAAAUACAGCCACGAAAGAGCUAGAAACGAGGACGAGAGAGAGAGAGAGAGAACACAGGCCUUCCAAGAUCCUCCUCGGCCUCGCCGGCGGCUACCUCGACUCCUCUCGGCCUCUCCAACCACCCCCCGUCUCUCGAUCUCCUCCCCUUCCGGCCUCGACCUAGCCCGUGCCGCGCGUCCCUCAUGCCGGAAGAAUUAGCGCAUCGGCAAGACCUCCCGCGCAUCGCAGAUCGUUGGUUCUCACAAAGUUCAUGCCAAUGCUAUGAUUCAACAUCGUAGGUUUUUCCGAACGAUGGUAUCGAUGAGUUCUAACUGGUGAGUACAAACCGAUGUGUCGGAUAAGUACGAAUAAAGUGGCUAGCAAAAGGGGUUCGGUUCGUU
rnacentral:lncRNA from 1 species